rnacentral:rRNA from 1 species
GACGAACGCUGGCGGCGUGCCUAAUACAUGCAAGUAGAACGCUGAAGAGAGGAGCUUGCUCUUCUUAGAUGAGUUGCGAACGGGUGAGUAACGCGUAGGUAACCUGCCUUGUAGCGGGGGAUAACUAUUGGAAACGAUAGCUAAUACCGCAUAACAAUGGAUGACACAUGUCAUUUAUUUGAAAGGGGCAAUUGCUCCACUACAAGAUGGACCUGCGUUGUAUUAGCUAGUAGGUGAGGUAAUGGCUCACCUAGGCGACGAUACAUAGCCGACCUGAGAGGGUGAUCGGCCACACUGGGACUGAGACACGGCCCAGACUCCUACGGGAGGCAGCAGUAGGGAAUCUUCGGCAAUGGGGGCAACCCUGACCGAGCAACGCCGCGUGAGUGAAGAAGGUUUUCGGAUCGUAAAGCUCUGUUGUAAGUCAAGAACGGGUGUGAGAGUGGAAAGUUCACACUGUGACGGUAGCUUACCAGAAAGGGACGGCUAACUACGUG